GAAAUGCGAUAAGUAGUGUGAAUUGCAGAAUUCAGUGAAUCAUCGAAUCUUUGAACGCACAUUGCGCCCCUUGGUAUUCCAUGGGGCAUGCCUGUUCGAGCGUCAUCUACACCCUCAAGCUCUGCUUGGUGUUGGGCGUCUUUGUCCCGCCUCCGCGCGCGGACUCGCCCCAAAUUCAUUGGCAGCGGUCCUUGCCUCCUCUCGCGCAGCACAUUGCGCUUCUCGAGGUGUUGCGGCCCGCGUCCAGAAAGCAAUCGUUACCGUCUUUGACCUCGGAUCAGGUAGGGAUACGCGCUGAACUUAAGC
rnacentral:misc_RNA from 1 species